rnacentral:rRNA from 1 species
AGAGUUUGAUCCUGGCUCAGGACGAACGCUUGCGGCGUGCCUAAGAAAUGCAAGUCGAGCGAACUUCAGCCUUCGGGCGAAGAGUUAGCGGCGAACGGUCGCGUAACACGUAAGCAACCUGCCCUAAAGUUUGGGAUAGCCCUCCGAAAGGAGGAUUAAUACCGGAUGUGGAUACUUCCUCGCAUGUGGAGGUGUCUAAAGCAGCAAUGCGCUUUAGGAUGGGCUUGCGGCCUAUCAGCUAGUUGGUGUGGGUAACGGCUCACCAAGGCGACGACGGGUAGCUGGUCUGAGAGGAUGGUCAGCCGGACUGGGACUGAGAUACGGCCCAGACUCCUACGGGGGGCAGCAAUUAGGAAUCUUGCGCAAUGGGCGAAAGCCUGACGCAGCGACGCCGCGUGACUGAUGAAGUCUUUCGGGAUGUAAAGGUCUUUUGCAGGGGACGAAGGAAGUGACGGUACCCUGCGAAUAAGCUCCGGCUAACUACGUGCCAGCAGCCGCGGUAAUACGUAGGGAGCGAGCGUUGUCCGAAUUUACUGGGCGUAAAGCGCGCGUAGGCGGGUUUUUAAGUUGGGGGUGAAAUGCCGAGGCUUAACCUCGGAACUGCCUCCAAAACUGGAAGCCUUGAGGUAUGGAGAGGGAAGUGGAAUUCCAGGUGUAGCGGUGAAAUGCGUAGAUAUCUGGAGGAACACCCGUGGCGAAGGCGGCUUCCUGGCCAUAUCCUGACGCUGAGGUGCGAAAGCUAGGGGAGCGAACGGGAUUAGAUACCCCGGUAGUCCUAGCCGUAAACGAUGGAUACUAG